AUAAUUUACCACUUUUUUGGCACUUAUUGUAGAUGCACUCACUAACUUAGUACAAAAUCUUAAGGCUGAGCAUAAAAUCCGAAAAAUCGAAAAAACUGGAUAAACCGACCAUCCAAACAUCGAAAAAAUCGAAACCGAUUAAACCGAACACCGAAAAAACCGCCAACGGCGCAAACCGCCACUAUUCGGUCGGUUUGGAAAUAUUGUCCGGACCGACCGAACGGAACCGAAACCGAUCGCGCACUAUUAUAUAUAAUAAUAUAAUAUUAUAUAAUUAUUAAUUAAAAAAUAAAUAAAAUCUGAUAUGUUUUUUUAUUUACUAGGGCAUCUCUUCUCCUCUCGGUUUCUCUAUCUCUAUCAUCGCAUAUACUCAGCUUAGCCCCUACGGUGUCGCGGCGAUCCUUCCUCUCUGUCUCCUCCCUCCGGCGACUACCCAAACGAACGGAACGGAACAGCCAACCUCUUCCUCUCUGUCUCUCUCAUCAUCUCCUCAUCUCCUCCUCUUCCUCUCUGUUUCGCUUAUCCCUCUGCCCAAACGAAACGAACGGAACGGACCGACACCGAGCAAACGCGACUCGGCGGCAGCACUGCCUAGCCCACUCCGGCGACUGCUUCACGGACACAGUGCCUUCCCACUCCGGUGACUGCUUCACUCACAGAGACAGUGACUCGAUUGAGAAGAAGUACCACUCUUUUUCUCCAGCAGUACACGAUCCCUCUGCAUAUGUAUGUGUAAUCAUAUAUAAUAAGUCUUCAUACAUAUACAUAUAAAGGUUUUCAUGCAUGUCAGUACACUUUUACAUUAUAUAUAUAUAUGUAUGUAUUAAUUUAAUUUUGAUUUAAUCAAUAGAGCAGACAAUCCCCCAAGGAAGAAAAAAAACAAAAAUGAAUUUUAUUCAAUUUUUUUUUAUUAAAACAUAAAACAAUAAAAGCAUAAAAAUGGAAGGGAAUUGGUAUAUAGAUUUUGAAUGUAGUCCUGUUCUGGUACAGUGUAAUAUAUGUCUAAUUUCUUCAGUAUACGGUAUUGUAUAUAUAAUAAUUAGGUGUAGUUAAAUUUUUUUAUUCCAUAUGGAUUUAUCUUUGUCAAUGAUACACAAUUGUAGUAAAAUAAAUAGUUGCGAAUAUGCUAUUCACUUUCAUGGCUGAACUAUUCUGUUUGAAAUUUUAAAAUGAUUCUUUUAUUAUGGAAAACUGAAAAAAGAGAACGUCUUGGAACACAA